UACGUAGGGACCAAGCGUUGUUCGGAUUUACCGGGUGUAGAGGGCGCGUAGGCGGCGUGGUAAGUCAAUUGUGAAAUCUCCGAGCUUAACUCGGAACGGUCAAUUGAUACUGCUGUGCUAGAGUGCAGAAAGGGCAAUCGGAAUUCUUGGUGUAGCGGUGAAAUGCGUAGAUAUCAAGAGGAACACCUGAGGCGAAGGCGGGUUGCUAGGCUGACACUGACGCUGAGGCGCGAAAGCUAGGGUAGCAAACGGG
rnacentral:rRNA from 1 species